UGCAAGUCGAGCGGCAGCGUGGUCCUUCGGGAUGCCGGCGAGCGGCGGACGGGUGAGUAAUGCCUAGGAAUCUGCCUGGUAGUGGGGGAUAACUCGGGGAAACUCGAGCUAAUACCGCAACGUCCUACGGGAGAAAGCGGGGGAUCUUCGGACCUCGCGCUACCAGAUGAGCCUAGGUCGGAUUAGCUAGUUGGUGAGGUAAAGGCUCACCAAGGCGACGAUCCGUAGCUGGUCUGAGAGGAUGAUCAGCCACACUGGAACUGAGACACGGUCCAGACUCCUACGGGAGGCAGCAGUGGGGAAUAUUGGACAAUGGGCGAAAGCCUGAUCCAGCCAUGCCGCGUGUGUGAAGAAGGUCUUCGGAUUGUAAAGCACUUUAAGUUGGGAGGAAGGGCAGUAAGCU
rnacentral:rRNA from 1 species